rnacentral:rRNA from 1 species
UAAAUAUUGGCGAGAGACCGAUAGCGAACAAGUACCGUGAGGGAAAGAUGAAAAGAACUUUGGAAAGAGAGUUAAACAGUACGUGAAAUUGCUAAAAGGGAAACGCUUGAAGUCAGUCGCGUUGGCUGGAAAUCAACCUUGCUCUUGCUUGGUGUAUUUUCUAGUCGACGGGUCAACAUCAGUUUUGAUUGCUGGAUAAAGUGUGAGGGAAUGUGGCAUCUUCGGAUGUGUUAUAGCCCUUGCUCGUAUACAGCGGUUGGGACUGAGGAACUCAGCACGCCGCAAGGCCGGGUCUUCGGACUACGUUCGUGCUUAGGAUGUUGGCAUAAUGGCUUUAAUCGACCCGU